rnacentral:tRNA from 1 species
GCUCGCAUUGUAUAGUGGCUAGUACACAUCCCUGUCACGGAUGAGACCCGGGUUCAAUUCCCAGUGCGGGCG